rnacentral:rRNA from 1 species
UACGAAGGGGGCGAGCGUUGUUCGGAAUUACUGGGCGUAAAGGGCGCGUAGGCGGCCUGUUAAGUCGAACGUGAAAUCCCCGGGCUCAACCCGGGAACUGCGUCCGAUACUGGCAGGCUUGAAUUCGGGAGAGGGAUGCGGAAUUCCAGGUGUAGCGGUGAAAUGCGUAGAUAUCUGGAGGAACACCGGUGGCGAAGGCGGCAUCCUGGACCGAGAUUGACGCUGAGGCGCGAAAGCCAGGGGAGCAAACGGG